rnacentral:lncRNA from 1 species
GAAAGAUACAAUCUCUGUUUCUCAUCUCCUCACUCUGUAGUCUCUAAUCUGCACGUCAUGGGCCCUAUGUGUACCCAAGUGGUCUUUUAGAAAAGGAACGGAGUACAGAAUAUAAGGAACCUAGGCAAACCGCUAAUCCAGAGGCCACUCUCUGCCCCCAGGAGAUCAGAUAGGCCCACACUUCACGAUCCUGGAAAGGUUGACACAACUCAAUGUCUCUGGUACAAUCUUAGCUUAGGAACCUUUAGAAAGUCCUCAGAACAGAUAUAGCUACUGUCUAUAGCAGAACAGAGAUGCUCCAAGAACAUUUUUUGUGUCUCCAACACUAGGAGCACAGGACAUCCAAAUAUCCAAAAUGACUCUGUGGGAAAAAAAAUCCUGAAAUGGGGGUUAUGGACUCUGGGGAGACCACUAAGGAUGCACCAGUAAAGAAUACAGGUCGUGAACCCCCACCCAGUAGACCUGUUUAUAGAGUCCCCCACCAGGGCACACACCUAGGACACACUGGGCUAGAUUGCACCACGGACAGAACAUGAACUUUCCUAGAUGCCGUUACCGUAGGGGAGGUCCCCGUCAAUUUACUCAAGCCCACACUGAGACCACUCCUCCUUAGCACAAGGGCAUUUAGCGUUCCCCAUGUGCUCAGCUUUAUUAAAAGUGCUGGCUGGAAUUCCCGUAGUGGCUUAGCAGAAACAACCUGAGUAGUAUCAAUGAGGAUGCGGUUUGAUCCCUGGCCUCGCUCAAAGGGUUAAGGAUCUGGCGUUGCCCAGCUCAGGGGGUUAAGGAUCCAUUGUUGCCAUGAGCUGUGGUGUAGGUCACAGACGCGGCUCAGAUCCCAUGUUGCUGUGGCUGUGGGGUAGGCCAGCAUCUACAGCUCUGAUAUGACCCCUAGCCUGGGAACUUCCACAUGCCAUAGGUGCGGCCCUAAAUUUAAAAAAAAAAAAAAAAAAAAAAAAGGAGUGCUGGCUUAUAUCUCCAUUUAUCCUCUAUGGUCUCCCAAUAAAGUAAGAGUUUGGAUAGGAGCACCGUGCCCUCCCAAAAGGACAGCCCCUUCUACUUUCUCUCCUCCUAACCUGAACUUAUUGGACACCCUACAGAAUCAGCUCACCUGUGCCCCUCAUGAACCUCGCUGGAAACCCUUCUGCCAAGCUCAUCUCCUGAUUGAAAAAUCCCUCUACUAUGCUCAAGAAUAUCAGAGAGAGAAUCAGUUCACACUUGAUGCUUAUUGAUCAGCUUCUCCCUAUUACUAUUAAAAUUAUGCCGGAAUGACAUAAUAAUAAUUCGAAAAAGGAAAAUGUUUAAGGUAAAUGAAUAUCUAAUUAUUAAAUAUUCAUAUUGUGUUCAUUUUAUUUUGAUCGUUAAUCUUUACUGUCUGUGUGCAAGAAAAAUUAGGGCAAAGAUCAUUCGAAGAAAGACAAUUAUUUUAGAAAUUAUCCUAACGUCAAAUGAAGAUGGUCUGAAAGAAGGAAGUGACAGAAAAUAAAAAGGAAGGUGUUUUUUUUUAGAAAACA